rnacentral:rRNA from 1 species
GAUGAACGCUGGCGGCGUGCCUAAUACAUGCAAGUCGAGCGAAAAGACGAGGAGCUUGCUCCUCUGACGUUAGCGGCGGACGGGUGAGUAACACGUGGAUAACCUACCUAUAAGACUGGGAAAACUUCGGGAAACCGGAGAUAAUACCGGAUAAUAUAUUGAAGCGCAUGGUUCAAUAGUGAAAGACGGCUUUGCUGGCACGUAUAGAUGGAUCCGCGCCGCAUUAGCUAGUUGGUAAGGUAACGGCGUACCAAGGCAACUAUGCGUAACCGACCGGAGAGGGUGGUCGGCCACACUGGAACUGAGACACGGUCCAGACUCCUACGGGAGGCAGCAGUAGGGAAUCUUCCGCAAAGGGCGAAAGCCUGACGGAACAACGCCGCGUGAGUUAUGAAGGUCUUCGGAUCGUAAAACUCUGUUAUUAGGGAAGAACAAAUGUGUAAGUAACUGUGCACGUCUUGACGGUACCGAAUCAGAAAGCCACGGCUAACUACGUG